rnacentral:rRNA from 1 species
UACGUAGGGUGCAAGCGUUGUCCGGAUUUAUUGGGUUUAAAGGGAGCGUAGGCGGUCUUAUAAGUCAGUGGUGAAAUCUCGUUGCUUAACAACGAACGUGCCAUUGAUACUGUAGGACUUGAGUACAGAUGCCGUUGGCGGAAUGUGUCAUGUAGCGGUGAAAUGCAUAGAUAUGACACAGAACACCGAUUGCGAAGGCAGCUGACGAAACUGUAACUGACGCUGAGGCUCGAAAGCGUGGGGAUCAAACAGG